rnacentral:rRNA from 1 species
UACAGAGGGUGCGAGCGUUAAUCGGAAUUACGUGGGACGUAAAGCGCACGUAGGUGGCGACGUAAGUCGGGUGUGAAAGCCCGGGCUCAACCUGGGAAUUGCAUUCGAGACUGCAUUGCUGGAGUACGGAAGAGGAGGGCGGAAUUCCACGUGUAGCAGUGAAAUGCGUAGAUAUGUGGAGGAACACCGAUGGCGAAGGCAGCCCCCUGGGCCGAUACUGACGCUCAUGCACGAAAGCGUGGGGAGCAAACAGGAUUAGAUACCCGAGUAGU